rnacentral:rRNA from 1 species
GCAUAUCAAUAAGCGGAGGAAAAGAAACUAACUAGGAUGCCCUUAGUAACGGCGAGCGAACCGGGCGAAGCCCAACUUGAAAAUCUCCAGCCUCCGGCUGGCGAAUUGUAGUCUAUAGAAGUGCUCUCUGCCUCAGUCCGGCCCCAAGUCCCCUGGAAAGGGGCGUCAGAGAGGGUGAGAACCCCGUUGGGACCGGAUCCUGAGGCUCCACGAGACGCUUUCGAAGAGUCGGGUUGUUUGGGAAUGCAGCCCAAAGCAGGUGGUAAAUCCCAUCUAAGGCUAAAUACAGACGGGAGACCGAUAGCGAACAAGUACCGUGAGGGAAAGAUGAAAAGAACUUUGAAAAGAGAGUUAAAAAGUGCUUGAAAUUGUUGAGAGGGAAGUGAUUAGAUCGUACGGGUGCGCCCAGGCACACGCCUGCCUAACGGUUGGCUGAAUGCGCUGGGUGCUGGUCAGCAUGGGUUGACCGGGCGGGACAAACCCGGGGAUUGUUACCCCGGCUAUGUCGCCUGGUCGAUCGAGGAAAGAAUGGCGCUCUCUGAGUCCUUCGGGAACUGCGUCAUCAAGAUGCUGGCGGAAACGUUCUAAUCAGCCCGUCUUGAAACACGGACC